rnacentral:sRNA from 1 species
AUGAACGUUCGAUGUGAAAUGGCAGAGCCAACAAUCCUGAGUUCUGAUAUACAACAUCAGAUCAGGGCGGUGCUGUAUGGACAGUGUGUAGGGGACUUCCUCGGACUUCUCACCGAGUUCUUGACCAAAAAGGAGGCCAAGCAGUACUCUGGUAAAUUGAAGGACUGUUUGGAGUUCGAACACAAGUCCUAUGUAGACAACCCGCACCAGAACCGCUGGAACGUGGGGGACUGGUCCGACGACUCAGAUAAGACCAUACUCAUUCUCAUCUCACUCACCGAGAACAAGGGAGAGGUGAACUGUAAGGACAUCGCCCGUCGAUUCCUGGACUGGAUGAGAGGGGAAUCCCCGAGCUGGGGGACUAUGUGGGGAUGGGGAUCGGAGCGACCACUGACCGGGUCAUACACCACAGGAGCUUCCUGGAGGAUCCCAUGGCAGCUGCAGAGUGUGUAUGGAGGGAAGGACAGGGUAAGGUGGCACCAAACGGAGCCGUGAUGCGGACCAGCGCCCUGGGGGUCCAUCGAUUCCACGACAUGGAUCACGUAACCAAGAACGCAGCGGAUGUCGCCAAAAUCACACACUUCGAUGCUAGAUGUCAGGCUUCUGCUGUUGCUGUGUCCGUUGCCAUAGCAAUGAUGCUGCAGAUAAAAGAGCGCCAUUUUAACAAGACAGGAGGUUAUAAUAUUCCGGCUAUCAUCCAAGACAGUUAUGACAUCGCCGUGAAAUUUAUCGAGAUCGAGGAACAGAAACGUGAACUACUGAGCUGUAUGAAGUGUUCUGACCUUAAACAAGUGAAACUUGACGAAUCAGGGAAGAUCGGCUACACGUUCAAAACACUUGGAGCUGGAUUCUGGGCACUCAAGCAGAACAACUUCCGGAAAGCGAUAACUAAAAUUGUCUUAUAGGGUGGAGAUGCAGACACAAAUGCCUGCGUAGCAGGGGCAAUGUUAGGAUGUAAACUCGGGAAAGAGGCCAUACCUGAGUCCUGGAGAAACAAUCUAAAACACAAGAACUGGCUAGAGCAACAAGUGCAAAAAUAUUUUGUGAUGCUCAAUGAAAUGGUGGAUAUGAAAGCAUAGCAUUUAACAGCCUAUUGAUACACUAUUCACUGUUUAUGUGUAUAUAUAUAAUGACUACCUCAUUAUUAUGCUGGAAUUAAGAAGAAAGACAAUCAAAGUACUGAUAUUACUGGAAAGCGGUUAACAAGCUUCUUUUGAAUAAAUGUAAUAAUUGCAAUACAUUAAAUAAACUGAAAAAUCAACAUUUUACGGUAUUACUAGCCAAUAUAUUUCCCUUUCUGUAUACAUGUGAAAGUGUUUUCUAAAAAUAAUUCUUAAUAUUACAAGC